CGGGGAAUCCCGGCUUACCUGCUCCGGACACCGAACCUACCUCCUCCAUGGAAGCGUCCCCGCCGCUGCGGUAAACGCAGCGGCCUGCGGGUGAGGCUCAAGGCCUACCUGGCGACCACGUCCUCAGCGUCGUUCUCGUCCUGGACAAGACGAGGCACGUUGUUUUCCUUUAGCGUGCUCCAGCACUUCCUGGACCCUGUCGCCUCCUGCCUGGUGCCCGUCGCCUGCCUGGAUGAGAGAUCGCUGCCACUUCGCCCCUGCUCUCCUCGGCUUCGCCAGCGCGGAUUAAACCUCUGGAACCUGGCGACACUGCAGCGAGGCGCCCGAAUCCCCGAUGCACUCGUCGCUCCCCCCGCCAGAAUUGGCCUGGUGAAUGCCAGAUCACUGGCAAACAAAGCUUUUAUUUUGAGGGACUUUUUCUGCUCCCGGAGCCUGGACUUCCUCUGUGUGACAGAGACAUGGAUCAGCGAUGGAUGACCUUCACUAUGCCAGUGUCCAGUUCUCCAACAACCAGGAAGUCUCUUUACUCCAACAUCAUGUCGGCUCAACCCCAGACAUUCGUGGAGAAAGAGGAGGAAGGUGUUGUCUACUCUGCUGUCAAAUUUAACAGUGGCAGCAGAAGUCAGGAAACUGGAGAAGAUGCAGCUGCUUUGUAUAGCACAGUCAAGAAAACCUGCUGAAAACAAGAUGAAUCUGCAGCCUGGAGUUUAGAAUAAUCAGUUUGUUUAUUGAAGCAGGUAACCAGUGAUUUGAUGUAUUGCUGAGGCCAGACCUGUCUGAGAAGGCAUCACUGAGAAAAC
ensembl:lncRNA